CAUUCUUGAUUGAAGCUAUGGAUAAGAUGUUUAUUAUCAACUUAUUUUCAUGUAAAGUGUGAUUUUUUACAGGAAAUGGGUGCAGCCCACGAAGGUAGCGCACAGGAAGGUCAGACAGAGGCCCCAUCAAGAGAUGACAAAAUAAAUACCCAUUUUAUUGCCUUUGUUUGUAAAGGCUCUGAUCUUUAUGAACUUGACGGUAGAAAAACUGGACCAGUAUUACAUGGAAAAACAACCCCAGACACUUUACUUGAGGUAAAUGUUGUUUCUCUCUUUCUUGGAUUG